GCCCUUUUGAUUACGUCCCUGCCCUUUGUACACACCGCCCGUCGCUACUACCGACGCGUCGUUCAGUGAGCUGCUCGGAGGGGCGUUUGUGUUUGCACGAGUGCCAGCAAGGUCCGCAAACUUGACGAUGUGGAGGAAGUAAAAGUCGUAACAAGGUUACGGUAGGUGAACCUGCCGUAGGAUCCUCA
rnacentral:rRNA from 1 species